rnacentral:antisense_RNA from 1 species
UGUUAUGGCGGUUGUACGUGGGGCGCCUUUGGGUGCGCCGGUGUCCUCGGAUCGGUCUGCUAGCCGACGUGCAACCGCCUCCCUA